rnacentral:rRNA from 1 species
GAUGAACGCUAGCGGCAGGCCUAAUACAUGCAAGUCGAACGGGAUUAAGAGGCUUGCUUCUUAUGAGAGUGGCGCACGGGUGCGUAACACGUAUGCAACCUACCUUUAACUGGGGGAUAGCCUUCCGAAAGGAAGAUUAAUACCGCAUAAUAUAAUGGAGUGGCAUCACUUUAUUAUCAAACUAUUUGGGUUAAAGAUGGGCAUGCGUCCGAUUAGCUAGUUGGUACGGUAACGGCGUACCAAGGCGACGAUCGGUAGGGGAUCUGAGAGGAUGGCCCCCCACACUGGUACUGAGACACGGACCAGACUCCUACGGGAGGCAGCAGUAAGGAAUAUUGGUCAAUGGACGGAAGUCUGAACCAGCCAUGCCGCGUGCAGGAAGACGGUCCUCUGGAUUGUAAACUGCUUUUGUUAGGGAAGAAACUUCCGUACGUGUACGGGACUGACGGUACCUAAAGAAUAAGGAUCGGCUAACUCCGUGCCAGCAGCCGCCGUAACAC